rnacentral:misc_RNA from 1 species
GAUGAAGAACGGAGCGAAAUGCGAUAAGUAAUGUGAAUUGCAGAAUUCAGUGAAUCAUCGAAUCUUUGAACGCACAUUGCGCCCGCCAGUAUUCUGGCGGGCAUGCCUGUCUGAGCGUCAUUUCAACCCUCAUGCCCCUAGGGCGUGGUGUUGGGGAUCGGCCAAAGCCCGCGAGGGACGGCCGGCCCCUAAAUCUAGUGGCGGACCCGUCGUGGCCUCCUCUGCGAAGUAGUGAUAUUCCGCAUCGGAGAGCGAUGAGCCCCUGCCGUUAAACCCCCAACUUUCCAAGGUUGACCUCAGAUCAGGUAGGAAUACCCGCUGAACUUAAGCAUAUCAAUAAGCGGAGGA